UGGAUGGUGUUCAACAUUUUGUCCAGACUUUCAGCUACGAGUGUAGGAAAAAAAACAAACAAACAAACAAACAAACAAAAAAGACAUUUGGCUGGCAUCCCACAGUUGAAGACCUAUGAGGCUGAUGCUCCCAUUUUCUUUUAGGACAGACUGUUAUACUAUUUAUUCAGCAUUUUUACCCUCUCUGUGGGAAACUGUGGGCCUACUAACCUAUCACCAAGACUUUGCUUCACAAACUGUGACAAUUUUCCUGUUCUCUGGAGACCAAAUGCAGAUGAUCUGUGAUCUCAAGCAUGUGGUACUUUCUCCACUGGCAUAACUAGUUACCAAUCCAGGCCUGACCAUCUUGUAUGACUUUUGCCUUCUUCUAAAUCAGUCACAUACAGUCAAUCCAAUAUGAUGAAGAUCUUCCUCUUGAUCUCUCAACAGUGAAAAAAAAAUGAAUGGCACACCUUGCCUGUCCAUUGGAUAGCCCUUUGCUGUUGGCAGUGUCUUGUAUUAGUUCCCAAGACCAGAAAUGGAUAUUCAAUUUUGAAAGGAGAAUCAAGUAAAAAGGAAUCAGAAGAGCUGCAAAUUCACUAUAGAUGUUGAAAACCCUACAAAAGAAAAGUGACUACAA